GACGAACGCUGGCGGCGUGCCUAAUACAUGCAAGUUGAGCGCUGAAGGUUGGUACUUGUACCGACUGGAUGAGCAGCGAACGGGUGAGUAACGCGUGGGGAAUCUGCCUUUGAGCGGGGGACAACAUAUGGAAACGAAUGCUAAUACCGCAUAAAAACUUUAAACACAAGUUUUAAGUUUGAAUGAUGCAAUUGCAUCACUCAAAGAUGAUACCGGGUUGUAUUAGCUCGGUGGUGAGGUAAAGGCUCACCAAGGCGAUGAUACAUAGCCGACCUGAGAGGGUGAUCGGCCACAGUGGGACUGAGACACGGCCCAAACUCCUACGGGAGGCAGCAGUAGGGAAUCUUCGGCAAUGGACGAAAGUCUGACCGAGCAACGCCGCGUGAGUGAAGAAGGUUUUCGGAUCGUAAAACUCUGUUGGUAGAGAAGAACGUUGGUGAGAGUGGAAAGCUCAUCAAGUGACGGUAACUACCCAGAAAGGGACGGCUAACUACGUGCCAGCCGCCGCCGUAA
rnacentral:rRNA from 1 species